rnacentral:rRNA from 1 species
UUAAGCGACUAAGCGUACACGGUGGAUGCCCUGGCAGUCAGAGGCGAUGAAGGGCGUGCUAAUCUGCGAUAAGCGCCGGUAAGGUGAUAUGAACCGUUAUAACCGGCGAUACCCGAAUGGGGAAACCCAGUGUGAUUCGUCACACUAUCAUUAACUGAAUCCAUAGGUUAAUGAGGCGAACCGGGGAACUGAAACAUCUAAGUACCCCGAGGAAAAGAAAUCAACCGAGAUUCCCCCAGUAGCGGCGAGCGAACGGGGAGGAGCCCAGAGCCUGAAUCAGCAUGUGUGUUAGUGGAAGCGUCUGGAAAGGCGCGCGAUACAGGGUGACAGCCCCGUACACAAAAGCGCAUGUGCUGUGAGCUCGAUGAGUAGGGCGGGACACGUGGUAUCCUGUCUGAAUAUGGGGGGACCAUCCUCCAAGGCUAAAUACUCCUGACUGACCGAUAGUGAACCAGUACCGUGAGGGAAAGGCGAAAAGAACCCCGGCGAGGGGAGUGAAAAAGAACCUGAAACCGUGUACGUACAAGCAGUGGGAGCCCCACCACUAAGCCAGUGGUGAACUCCACAUACGCAUCCUUUGCUGAGGAUACGGUUAACGGAGCGAAAGCGACGUUCAACCUCAAAAGAAGCAGAGGGGGCUUAGUGGUGGGGUGACUGCGUACCUUUUGUAUAAUGGGUCAGCGACUUAUAUUCUGUAGCAAGGUUAACCGAAUAGGGGAGCCGGAGGGAAACCGAGUCUUAAUUGGGCGUUAAGUUGCAGGGUAUAGACCCGAAACCCGGUGAUCUAGCCAUGGGCAGGUUGAAGGUUGGGUAACACUAACUGGAGGACCGAACCGACUAAUGUUGAAAAAUUAGCGGAUGACCUGUGGCUGGGGGUGAAAGGCCAAUCAAACCGGGAGAUAGCUGGUUCUCCCCGAAAGCUAUUUAGGUAGCGCCUCGUGAAUUCAUCUCCGGGGGUAGAGCACUGUUUCGGCUAGGGGGCCAUCCCGGCUUACCAACCCGAUGCAAACUGCGAAUACCGGAGAAUGUUAUCACGGGAGACACACGGCGGGUGCUAACGUCCGUCGUGAAGAGGGAAACAACCCAGACCGCCAGCUAAGGUCCCAAAGUCAUGGUUAAGUGGGAAACGAUGUGGGAAGGCCCAGACAGCCAGGAUGUUGGCUUAGAAGCAGCCAUCAUUUAAAGAAAGCGUAAUAGCUCACUGGUCGAGUCGGCCUGCGCGGAAGAUGUAACGGGGCUAAACCAUGCACCGAAGCUGCGGCAGCGACGCUUAUGCGUUGUUGGGUAGGGGAGCGUUCUGUAAGCCUGUGAAGGUGGCCUGUGAGGGUUGCUGGAGGUAUCAGAAGUGCGAAUGCUGACAUAAGUAACGAUAAAGCGGGUGAAAAGCCCGCUCGCCGGAAGACCAAGGGUUCCUGUCCAACGUUAAUCGGGGCAGGGUGAGUCGACCCCUAAGGCGAGGCCGAAAGGCGUAGUCGAUGGGAAACGGGUUAAUAUUCCCGUACUUGGUGUUACUGCGAAGGGGGGACGGAGAAGGCUAUGUUGGCCGGGCGACGGUUGUCCCGGUUUAAGCGUGUAGGUGUGUGUUCCAGGUAAAUCCGGUUCACUUUAACACUGAGGCGUGACGACGAGGCACUACGGUGCUGAAGCAACAAAUGCCCUGCUUCCAGGAAAAGCCUCUAAGCAUCAGGUAACAUCAAAUCGUACCCCAAACCGACACAGGUGGUCAGGUAGAGAAUACCAAGGCGCUUGAGAGAACUCGGGUGAAGGAACUAGGCAAAAUGGUGCCGUAACUUCGGGAGAAGGCACGCUGACACGUAGGUGAAGUGAUUUACUCACGGAGCUGAAGUCAGUCGAAGAUACCAGCUGGCUGCAACUGUUUAUUAAAAACACAGCACUGUGCAAACACGAAAGUGGACGUAUACGGUGUGACGCCUGCCCGGUGCCGGAAGGUUAAUUGAUGGGGUCAGCGCAAGCGAAGCUCCUGAUCGAAGCCCCGGUAAACGGCGGCCGUAACUAUAACGGUCCUAAGGUAGCGAAAUUCCUUGUCGGGUAAGUUCCGACCUGCACGAAUGGCGUAAUGAUGGCCAGGCUGUCUCCACCCGAGACUCAGUGAAAUUGAACUCGCUGUGAAGAUGCAGUGUACCCGCGGCAAGACGGAAAGACCCCGUGAACCUUUACUAUAGCUUGACACUGAACAUUGAGCCUUGAUGUGUAGGAUAGGUGGGAGGCUUUGAAGUGUGGACGCCAGUCUGCAUGGAGCCGACCUUGAAAUACCACCCUUUAAUGUUUGAUGUUCUAACGUGGACCCGUAAUCCGGGUUGCGGACAGUGUCUGGUGGGUAGUUUGACUGGGGCGGUCUCCUCCUAAAGAGUAACGGAGGAGCACGAAGGUUGGCUAAUCCUGGUCGGACAUCAGGAGGUUAGUGCAAUGGCAUAAGCCAGCUUGACUGCGAGCGUGACGGCGCGAGCAGGUGCGAAAGCAGGUCAUAGUGAUCCGGUGGUUCUGAAUGGAAGGGCCAUCGCUCAACGGAUAAAAGGUACUCCGGGGAUAACAGGCUGAUACCGCCCAAGAGUUCAUAUCGACGGCGGUGUUUGGCACCUCGAUGUCGGCUCAUCACAUCCUGGGGCUGAAGUAGGUCCCAAGGGUAUGGCUGUUCGCCAUUUAAAGUGGUACGCGAGCUGGGUUUAGAACGUCGUGAGACAGUUCGGUCCCUAUCUGCCGUGGGCGCUGGAGAACUGAGGGGGGCUGCUCCUAGUACGAGAGGACCGGAGUGGACGCAUCACUGGUGUUCGGGUUGUCAUGCCAAUGGCACUGCCCGGUAGCUAAAUGCGGAAGAGAUAAGUGCUGAAAGCAUCUAAGCACGAAACUUGCCCCGAGAUGAGUUCUCCCUGAGACUUAGAGUCUCCUGAAGGAACGUUGAAGACGACGACGUUGAUAGGCCGGGUGUGUAAGCGCAGCGAUGCGUUGAGCUAACCGGUACUAAUGAACCGUGAGGCUUAACCUU